GAUGAAGAACGCAGCGAAAUGCGAUAAGUAGUGUGAAUUGCAGAAUUCAGUGAAUCAUCGAAUUUUUGAACGCACAUUGCGCCCCUUGGUAUCCCGAGGGGCAUGCCUGUUCGAGCGUCAUUUCACCACUCAAGCCUGGCUUGGUGUUGGGCGACGUCCCCUUUGGGGACGCGCCUCGAAACGCUCGGCGGCGUGGCACCGGCUUUAAGCGUAGCAGAAUCUUUCGCUUUGGAAGUCGGGGCCCCGUCUGCCGGAAGACCUACUCGCAAGGUUGACCUCGGAUCAGGCAGGGAUACCCGCUGAACUUAAGCAUAUCAAUAAGCGGAGGA
rnacentral:misc_RNA from 1 species